rnacentral:tRNA from 1 species
GCGCGGGUGGUGGAACUGGCAGACACGGCAGCUUGAGGGGCUGUUGGGGCAACCCAUGCAGGUUCAAAUCCUGUCUCGCGCACCA